rnacentral:rRNA from 1 species
GACGAAGGAUGCAAGCGUUAUCCGGAUUCAUUGGGUUUAAAGGGAGCGUAGGCGGCCUUAUAAGUCAGUGGUGAAAUCUCGAGGCUUAACCUCGAAAUUGCCAUUGAUACUGUAGGGCUUGAGUACAGAUGCCGUUGGCGGAAUAUGACAUGUAGUGGUGAAAUACAUAGAGAUGUCAUAGAACACCGAUUGCGAAGGCAGCUAACGAAACUGUAACUGACGCUGAGGCUCGAAAGUGCGGGGAUCAAACAGG